rnacentral:rRNA from 1 species
GACGAACGCUGGCGGCGUGCUUAACACAUGCAAGUCGAACGGAAAGGCCCAGCUUGCUGGGUGCUCGAGUGGCGAACGGGUGAGUAACACGUGGGUGAUCUGCCCCUAACUUCGGGAUAAGCUUGGGAAACUGGGUCUAAUACCGGAUAGGACAAUCGUUUAGUGUCGGUUGUGGAAAGUUUUUUCGGUUAGGGAUGAGCCCGCGGCCUAUCAGCUUGUUGGUGGGGUAAUGGCCUACCAAGGCGUCGACGGGUAGCCGGCCUGAGAGGGUGGACGGCCACAUUGGGACUGAGAUACGGCCCAGACUCCUACGGGAGGCAGCAGUGGGGAAUAUUGCACAAUGGGCGCAAGCCUGAUGCAGCGACGCCGCGUGGGGGAUGACGGCCUUCGGGUUGUAAACCUCUUUCGACAGGGACGAAGCUUUGGUGACGGUACCUGUAUAAGAAGCACCGGCUAACUACG